AGGUUCAAUGAUGUUUUCAACAAUGGAAUGUUAAGUCACACUUCUAUUGUCAUGGAGAAGGUCCUAGAAUCAUACAAAGGCUUUGAGCAUGUUAAAAAGCUUGUGGAUGUUGGCGGUGGCUUGGGGAUCACUCUUAAUAUGAUAAUUUCGAAAUACCCUCAUAUUAAGGGUAUUAAUUAUGACUUACCUUAUGUUAUUAAAGAUGCCCCAUCUUAUUCAGGUACUUUAUUUAUAAAAUCUGUAUAACAUAUUUGUUAAUGAUUCAUCGAUGCUACACUAGCUAACAAAAGUUAGUUUAUUUAAAUUUCAGGGAUAGAACAUAUCGGUGGAGAUUUGUUCGAAAGUAUUCCUGAGGCAGAUACUAUUUUUAUGAAGGUUUAUAUUUUCUUAUAUCACUUGAAAUCAUCAUAAGGAAAAAUUAAAUAGAGAGAAUGACAUUUUUCUCCCUAUUGUUUUUGAGUUAACACGUACCCUAACCAUGUUACUCACUUGGUAUUAGAACUUUGAUAGAAAAAUUCAAAGGGAUAAUAAGAUAUUAUGAAAACUAUUAAAAGAAAAAAAAAGGUAAAACUCAAAACUAUAUAUACAAGGAAAGUGUCAACAACUCUCUUUUUUUCUUCAAUGGUAAAAUGGGUGGGCAUAGCCCAAAUUAACUAAUUAUUGAUCCCAUAUCUCCCUUGAGUUCAAACUUGGGUGACAAUUAAAUAAAAUUGAUUGAAAACAAUUCGAUCAGGCACCUCGGGUGGAAAGUAUCAAUCUCUCUUCUUUAUGAAUGCUUUGUUCAAUCACAUAAAUUGAUCAUAGAUAUCCGGAAAAGAACAAAUGAGAAUUAAUAUGAAUACAUGGAACUUUUGCAGUGGAUGCUUCAUAGUUUUGAUGAUGAACAAGCCUUGAAAGUGUUGAAGAAUUGUUAUAAAGCUCUUCCAGAUGGUGGGAAGCUGCUUAAUAUUAAUUCGACAAUUUCGGAAAUGCCUGGGAAUAAUGUAGCUUCAAGGGAAAUCUCUAUUUUGGAUACGGUUUUGUUAGUCCAACUUCCUCAUGGAAGAGAGCGGACCAAACACGAGUACACUGAAUUGGCAGUCAAAGCUGGAUUUAAAGGUGUCAACUAUGAUUAUGGUGCGUGCAAUUUAUAUGUUAUGGAAUUCUUCAAAUAAAUUGCAUACUUAAUUUCAUUUUGGAAAGAUCUUCUCAACCCUUGGGGAGUUUCCAAUUUCCUAUUUGUGUUAAUUAUUUUCUCUUUUGCUUGGCCUUGGGGCUUGUCUUAUGUACUUUCUUUCAUCUUAUGAAAAUAAUACGUCUCUUAGAAAGAGAUUGAUGGCUGUAUGUGGUACUCCUUAUGUAAUCUUUUUCAGUUCAUACGUUCAGCAUGUGAUUUUUGGUUUAUUAUUGAGGCAAAAAAGAAGUAUUUUUAUCUUACCUUACUAUUAUUAUUAUUAUUUUUUGUUCAUUUCAAAGUUGAAAAAAUCAGUAAUGUAUAACUUUUUUAUCAUUUAAAGUAAGAACAUUUGACUUUUGAAAGAGUAGUUAUAGAGAACUCAUUAUAUGCCAUCUCAACCUCACACAAGAGUAAUUAAAACUAGAGCUAAUGUUAAAGUAGUUCUAAAUUUUGAAUUCAUUACAAACUUAUCCUAAAAAUUUGCCUUAGUGGAGUUUAUGUGUGGUACUGGUGUUUAUUUCAUUUUUAUUUCUAAAAAUAUAGUAAAUUAAGUGCACCACUAAGUGAACCAGAUGAAGACUGAAAAUUAUUAAAAAUGGAUUGUGGAGAUUUGGUUUUUCAUCAAACAACUACUAAGAGCUAAUAUUGCUCGAUGGAAAAAGAAAAAAGAAAACAAAUCUGAAUAUUAUGAUUAUCUUUGAAAGGUGCAUAGUGAAUAGAGAAAAAAAAAAAGAAAAAAUUUUGAGUUCCUUUAUUGGACGAGUAUUUUGAUUAGGAGAAAUUUUAUAAUGUUGUAAUUAAAAUGAUGGUAUUAAUGCCGUGAUAAAUAUGAAUUUUGUAAAUUACGCAUAAGACUAGUAAAUGAAAAGUAAAAUAAGUAAAUUAAUAUAAGAAUGGUAAAUUGGCGUCUUAAAACUACAAACUAAACAAAUGCUUAUAAAAAUAACAUAAAACUUGUAAAUCAACAUUAAACUUUAAUUAAAAAAAUAAUUUAUUCAUUUAAUUUACAUAAAUGAUGAAAAAAUCACUCAUCAAUUGAAAAAAAAAAACUAUUUAAAACAAUUGUAAUAAGUUUUUAUUGUAUUGGUUUAACUAUAUGUUCUAUAUUCAUUCUUGCACAUUAAAAAAACGAAUCUUUAAAAAAAAAUGAAUCUUUUUCUAUCUAUAGUAUUUGAUACUACACAUGUUAAUUAAGCAAAAAUUAUUUUUUUUUGACGUGAAUCAAGCAAAAAAAAAAAAAGAUUUUCUUAUAUGACUAGAUGUACAUGAUAUAUCAAUAAAAUUGGAUCUAAUUUUUAGUGUUAUAUAUACUUCAUGUAAUUUUAAACUAUGUUUCUUAUUGUACUUAAAGAUCAUUUGGGUUUACGGUCAAGGAGGCUUAAAAGGAUACAACAUCACCUUAUUUUACAAACAGUGAGGUUUGAAAGUCUAACUUUCAGGAUAUGUUUAUCAUUCUUAUAUUACUAGAUGUACAUGACAUAUCAAUAAAAUUGGAUCUAAUUUUUAGUGUUAUAUAUAUUUCAUGUAAUUUUAAACUAUGUUUCUUAUUGUACUUAAAGAUCAUUUGGGUUUACGGUCAAGGAGGCUUAAAAGCAUACAACAUCACCUUAUUUUACAAGCAGUGAGGUUUGAAUGUCUAACUUUCAGGAUAGGUUUAUCAUUAAUAAAAUUUCACAUAUGUCAUCACAUAUAUUAUACAACCUCAUAAUGUGACAAUUAGCUUAUAUAUUUACUAAUUUUGAUUCUAAAUUGAGUUUAGAAUCAAAAUUAUGAGCUAAUAGUCACAUUAUGAGUUUUUAUUUUAUAUUUGUAAGUUUUUAUUUUUACAUUAAGGUACUUGUUUUACCUUCUAUUUACAAGUAUUACAUUCUAUUUACAUCAUUUAUAUUUUAUUUUAUGAUUAAUGUUGAUUUACCACUUCUAUGUUACAUGUAUAAGUUUUUAUUUUGUUUAUCAAUAAUAUAAUGAUUUAUGACUUUUAUGUUAAUUUAUUUGUUUUACCUUCUAUUUACAAGUUUUAUGUCCCAUUUACUUUUAUUUACACUUUAAUGUUAAUUUACAAAUUUUAUAUUAUAUGUAUAAGUUUUUGUUUUAUUUACUAAUGAUACACCAAUUAACUACUCCUAUAUUAAUUUACUUAUUUUACCUUCUAUUUACAAAUCUUGUAUUCUAUUUAACACAAAUGUUGGCAUGAGAUUCCUGACAUAUUUCUAAAAUCAAAAUAAGAUGCAUAGAGGAUGAUCAUUUUAUUUCAUAAUUAAAAUUUUUGUAAAGAAAGUUUGAAUAUGAGAGGGGUGAGAGAUGAGAAUAUUGACGAUAGUGCGUACUUUGGAUGGAAAAAUAGAUUGAAAAUAUAUAUAGACAUAUUAAAAGAAAAAAAUCUGAUCUAUACCUCAAGAGAAAUAAGAAAUUAUAAAUGCAGGUGGUCAAAUGUAUUUAUAAUUUAUAAUUUUUUAUAAAUAUGAUAAUCAUUAGACCCAUAUAAAAGUAUAGCAAAAUGUUUAAAUUUUUUUUAAUAAAUGUAGAAGAGAUGGACGAAGAAAACAGCCACCAGUUCAGAAUUAACAAUCAAAGAUAUGAGGACUUGAUCGAAGAAAUGUGAAAAAUAAAAGGACACUGGGUUGGUUAGCGGGACCCUAAUUUAAUGGUAAAAAAUAAAAGGACACUGGGUUGCUAUCAAUUUCUACGGUGUGGUAGGUUCAUAGCAGGGGAAGUAAUUAUAUUAGCGGGACCCUAACAUUAAUAAAAGGACACUGGGUUGUUUAGCGGGACCCUAAUAUUAAUGGUAAAAAAUAAAAGGAAACUGAGUUGGUAUCAAUUUCUACGGUGUAGGUUCAUAGCCGGGGAAGUAAUUAUAUUAGCGGGACCCUAAUAUUAAUGGAGACCUAAUAUUAAUGAUAAAAAAUAAAAGGACACUGGGUUACAAUCAAUUUCUACAGAGUGGGUUCAUAGCCGGAGAAGUAAUUGGGCACAAAUAUCAUGGUGAACACGGAUGAGAAAUAACCAUUUUAUCCCCGCAACUUUAUGUUUAUGGCCUCUAAAAAUUUUCACCUCUUUCACUUCUGGACCCGCGCUUUCUGGCACAUGCACGAUACUUGGUUGCGACUUAUAGAGAGUUUUAGAAUUGCAACGACAUGGUGCUCUUUGAUAAUUCAAAAAUCCAAUAGAAUUUAUAGAGAAUUACAGAAUUGUGGUACGUGAUAAUUUGCUGAUGCAGUGAGGGGCCGAAAUUCUUGUACAUGUGAUUAAGUUAGAGAUGUAUAAUUAAGUAAUUAGCAAGCACUAAUGGGGGGUAUUUGUGUCCAUGAAAAUUUACGGUUGGUUGUUGACAUUAUACUGUGGGUGCGUAAGUGUAAUCACGAUCUGACCAUUCAAAUUAAAAAAUGGGGGUCCCACUAACUAUAAAGUUAAUAAUUAUCACAUAAACAGGGGGAAUUUUAGGUGCAACUGUGACACCGUGCCACAGUUGCACCUAGUCAUUGGAUGUCAGUAGACUCUAUUACUCCAACUGCAUCCAACGGUUAGAUGCAAUUGUGGCACGGUGCCACAGUUACACCGUAGCCUGAUCCCAUAUACAGAUAUGGUCGCAUAUGAAAAUCUUAUCAUAAAUUGAAAGGAUUCGAUGACUUAAUUGAAGUUAUGAACGGAUAUUUAAAUAAAAGAAAAUUUAUAAUAAAGAACAAGUAUUAAUUUGUUAUGAAUGUAACUUAUAUAAGCUGUAAGUUAGCGGGACUCUUCAAGUAAUUCUAAUAUUUUGAUUUUUAAUUUUUAUAUUUUAAAAAAUAUCUUCUGUAGUUAAAUAUAUUUUAUUUUUAUCCUUACUUUUACUUUACUUUUACAAUAAUAGCCUUCUAAAAAUUUUUUAACAUUAAUUAAGUUAUUUAUAAAAUUUUAAUUAUAAAAUUAACUAAUAAUUAUUUAUUAAUAAAUUAACUAAUAAAUAUCAGUACGAAAGAACUAAUAUUUUUUUAACCCAUGCAAUAAUCUUGCAAAUAAUUUUUUUAUAAAUAAAAAUUAAUAUCAACUAACUUAAAGUGGUUUUUAAUAUCCUUACAAUAAUUAUAUUAAUAUUUAUUUAUAAAAAAUUAAUUUGCCAAAUUAAUCUUAAAACUAAAUUAAUAACAUAAAAAUUUAUAAAACUAAUUAUUUUACUUUUCAUCGGCUGCAAUUUGUUGAAACUUGGGUGAAGACAAAUUGAGAUCUUAGAAAUCUCCAAUGAGAUAAUAAAAUAUAAUACAUAUGUUAGGUCUUUGUUCUUUAGGGAAUAGAUCCUAUUGAAAUUUGAACACGAAUAUCGAUUACUCACAAAUAAAACAAAUUUGCUGAGGCGGCUCGACUAAGACGUACGGGCAGCAUAAUUAAGUCCUCAUAACUCUCAAGUGCAGGCAUCAAAAAAUCAAAACUGAGAAUGACUGGUGAUAUAUAUAUAUAUAUAUAUAUAUAUAUAGACACCUCAAGCAAUUAAGAAAGAAGCAAAUUAUAAUCAUGGCUUCUAUAGCUGAUCAGGAAGAAGAGACAAAUAAUUUCUCACAUGCAAUGGGACUUGCAAGUGCAAUAGUGCUACCUGCAGUUAUGCAAGCAGUGGUAGAGCUUGAUGUGUUUGAGAUCAUAAGCAAAGCCGGUCCUGGUGCUAAGCUUUCGGUUGCGGAGAUUGUGGCUCAAAUUCCCUUAAAAGAUAAUAAUCCUGAAGCUGCAGCCACGACGUUGGAUCGGGUGCUGAGGCUGCUUGUCAGCUACAACGCUCUUCAUUGCUCUUUUGUCGAUGGACAAAGGCUCUACUCUCUUGCUCCUGUUUCUAAACACUUUGUUCGCAACAAUCGAGACGGCGUGUCGUUGCGUCCCUACAUGGCCUUGUGUCUCGACAAGAUCUGCUUGGAUGGCUGGUACAUAGAACUGCUUCUUUUCUUUACCGUUUCAGUAAAUCGAUCAUUUUCAUUCUCAUGAUUUAAAAUCGAUUAAACUCUGUUAAAAAGAUAUUUAAUUUUCAUUUAAUUUACCAUUAAUGUUAUAAAUGACACAAAAAGUUGAAAGUUAAUAAUUUCUUUUUUUUUAAUGACGGAGGAUUCUCAAAUAUGAAAACAAAAAUGAUUGAUUUUAACGAACAACAACGUUUUUUUUUUUUUUUUUUUAUCGUUUCUCGACAAAAAUUAGUUUUUCGAAUUUCAAGGUUAAUUGUGUGGUCUAAUUCUUGAAUCACCAGCACCAAACCAAGCUUCUGAAAUAGUUGCUAACUGUGUUUGGAUUUUGGAAAAUUCAGGUUUGGAUUGAAAAAGCAGAUUCUUGAAGGAGGAAUUGCGUUUAAUAAAGCGCACGGAAUGCAAAUCUAUGAUUACCUAGGCGUCGACUCAAGGUUCAAUGAUGUUUUCAAUAAUGGAAUGUUAAGCCACACUUCUAUUGUCAUGGAGAAGGUCCUAGAAUCAUACAAAGGCUUUGAGCAUGUUAAGAAGCUUGUUGAUGUUGGCGGCGGCUUAGGAACUACCCUGAACAUGAUAAUUUCCAAAUACCCUCAUAUUAAGGGUAUUAAUUAUGAUCUGCCUUAUGUCAUUAAAGAUGCCCCAUCUUAUCCUGGUAUGUUAUUUACAAAAUUUAUAUAGUAUGUUGGGUAAUGAUUUAUUGAUGCUACCCUAACUAAAAGAUGUGAAUUUAUUUAAAUUUCAGGCAUCGAACACGUGGGUGGAGAUUUAUUCGAAAAUGUUCCUGAGGCGGAUACCAUUUUCAUGAAGGUUUUUUCUCUCUAUCUAUAUAUAUAACUUUGAAAUGAUAAUUAUCAAGAGAAUGACAAUUUUCUCCUUACUGCUUUUGAGUUUUACAAUUUACUCAUUUGACGUCAAUUUUUUCAUUGAAAAACUCAAAAGGAUAACAAGAUAUUAUGAAAAUCGAAAAAAAAACAAUAAAACUCAAAAAUAGUAUACCGG
rnacentral:lncRNA from 1 species